GAUGAACGCUAGCUACAGGCUUAACACAUGCAAGUCGAGGGGAAACGAUAGAGAAAGCUUGCUUUUUCUAGGCGUCGACCGGCGCACGGGUGAGUAACGCGUAUCCAACCUGCCCAUCACUUGGGGAUAACCUUGCGAAAGUAAGACUAAUACCCAAUGAUAUCUCUAGAAGACAUCUGCAGGAGAUUACAGAAUUAUCGGUGAUGGAUGGGGAUGCGUCUGAUUAGCUUGUUGGCGGGGUAACGGCCCACCAAGGCGACGAUCAGUAGGGGUUCUGAGAGGAAGGUCCCCCACAUUGGAGCUGAGACACGGUCCAAACUCCUACGGGAGGCAGCAGUGAGGAAUAUUGGUCAAUGGACGAGAGUCUGAACCAGCCAGGUAGCGUGCAGGAUGACGGCCCUAUGGGUUGUAAACUGCUUUUAUAAGGGAAUAAAGUGAGUCUCGUGAGACUUUUUGCAUGUACCUUAUGAAUAAGGACCGGCUAAUUCCGUGCCAGCAGCCGCGGUAA
rnacentral:rRNA from 1 species